rnacentral:rRNA from 1 species
GGAUUAGGCAUGCAAGUCGCGGGAGGUUUCGAACCGACCGGCAGACGGGUUAGUAACGCGUAGGAACAUUCCCCAUUCACGGGCAUAGCUCAUCGAAAGAUGAGGUAAUACCCGAUAGUCCCGCAAGGGUAAAGGCGUAAGCCGGAAUGGGAUUGGCCUGCGUCCUAUCAGCUAGUUGGCGGGGUAAUGGCCCACCAAGGCGAUGACGGGUAGGGGGUGUGAGAGCACGGCCCCCAACAAUGGAACUGAGAUAAGGUCCAUACUCCUACGGGAGGCAGCAGCCGAGAAUAUUGGACAAUGGGCGAAAGCCUGAUCCAGCGACACCGCGUUUAGGAAGACGGUCUUCGGAUUGUAAACUAAUUUUGUAAGGGAAGAAGUUAUUGACUGUACCUUACGAAUAAGGGGUUGCUAACUCUGUGCCAGCAGCAGCGGUAAUACAGAGACCCCAAGCGUUAUCCGGAUUUAUUGGGUGUAAAGGAUGUGUAGGUGGUUGAAGUAGUCUCUUGUUAAAGUUUCAGAGCUCAACUUUGAAAAUGCAAGGGAAACCAUUCAACUAGAGGACGUUAGAGGUUAGUGGAACUAUCGGUGUAGGGGUAAAAUCCGUUGAUAUCGAUGGGAACACCAAAAGCGAAGGCAACUAACUGGGGCGAUCCUGACACUGAAACAUGAAAGCGUGGGUAGCAAAAAGGAUUAGAUACCCUUGUAGUCCACGCCCUAAAUGAUGAUUACUAGCUAUUGGAAGUGUCGACCCUUUCAGUGGCGAAGCUAACGCGUUAAGUAAUCCACCUGAGAAGUACGGCCGCAAGGCUAAAACUCAAAGAAAUAGACGGGGACUCACACAAGCGGUGGAUCAUGUGGUUUAAUUCGACGACAAACGGGGAACCUUACCAAGGCUUGAAACCUAGACGAAAUUCUGAUGAAAGUCGGAACCUUCGCAAGAACGGCUAGGCAGGUGCUGCAUGGUUGUCGUCAGCAGGUGCCGUGAGGCGCUCCCUUAGAUGGGUAAACCUGCGCAACCCUUGCCCUGUGUUUUAAAUGUCACAGGGGACUGCCCGGGACAACUGGGAGGAAGGUGAGGAUGACGCCAAAUCAGCAUGGCCCUUUGACGCCUUGGGCCACACACGUGAUACAAUGGUUGGUACAGAAGGUAGCCAAGUCGCAAGACGGAGCUAAUCCCAAAAGCCAAUCUCAGUUCGGAUUGAGGGCUGCAACUCGCCCUCAUGAAGCUGGAAUCGCUAGUAACCGCAAAUCAGACAUGUUGCGGUGAAUAUGUCCCUGAGUCUUGUACACACCGCCCG